rnacentral:rRNA from 14 species
CCCCGACGAGGGGAGUGAAACAGUACCUGAAACCGAACGCCUACAAUCAGUUGGAGGCCCCUUGAGGGCUGACAGCGUACCUUUUGUAUAAUGGGUCAUCGACUUGGUCUCACGAGCAAGCUUAAGCCGUUAGGUGUAGGCGCAGCGAAAGCGAGUCUUAAUAGGGCGAAUGAGUUCGUGGGAUCAGACCCGAAACCGAGUGAUCUAGGCAUGGCCAGGUUGAAGGUGCAGUAACAUGCACUGGAGGACCGAACCCACAUCCGUUGAAAAGGAUCGGGAUGAGCUGUGCCUAGGGGUGAAAGGCCAAUCAAACUCGGAGAUAGCUGGUUCUCUGCGAAAUCUAUUUAGGUAGAGC